CAAAAACAAAUUAUAUACUGUCAUUGCAAUACUGCAGUAAUAACAGUAUCAUGAUGGAUUUAGAGUAUAUAUUCACAUGAAUAGUUUUCUUUUCUGCUAUGCUAAAAGAAUGGCAGAUUUACUGAGCUGAAGAUAAAAUAAAAAAAAUAUGUAAAAAAUUGAAAACACAAUUUUGUAGCAUCAAAACACCAUGCACCAAAACAAACAUAACCACAUAUUAAAUAAAUACACAAUUUUUGUUUAACAUGAAAAAAG
rnacentral:lncRNA from 1 species